rnacentral:rRNA from 1 species
UACGGAGGGGGUUAGCGUUGUUCGGAAUGACUGGGCGUAAAGCGCGCGUAGGCGGAUCAGGAAGUUGGGGGGUGAAAUCCCGGGGCUCAACCCCGGAAUGGCCUUCAAAAACUCCUGGUCUUGAGUUCGAGAGAGGUGAGUGGAAUUCCGAGUGUAGAGGUGAAAUUCGUAGAUAUUCGGAGGAACACCAGUGGCGAAGGCGGCUCACUGGCUCGACACUGACGCUGAGGUGCGAAAGCGUGGGGAGCAAACAGG